GAUGAACGCUGGCGGCGUGCCUAAUACAUGCAAGUCGAGCGAACAGACGAGGAGCUUGCUCCUCUGACGUUAGCGGCGGACGGGUGAGUAACACGUGGAUAACCUACCUAUAAGACUGGGAUAACUUCGGGAAACCGGAGCUAAUACCGGAUAAUAUAUUGAACCGCAUGGUUCAAUAGUGAAAGACGGUUUUGCUGUCACUUAUAGAUGGAUCCGCGCCGCAUUAGCUAGUUGGUAAGGUAACGGCUUACCAAGGCGACGAUGCGUAGCCGACCUGAGAGGGUGACGGCCCACCGUGAAAUUGAGACGCGGCCGAGCCCCAAGGGGGGGCCGAGGGGGGGAAUUUUCCGGAAGGGGGCGAAGCCCGGCGGGACCACCGCGGGGUGGGGAAGAAGGGUUUCGGGAUGUAAAACCUUUGUUAUGGGGAAAAAAAAAUUGUGUAAGUAACUAGGCGCUUUUAGGGGGACCAAAAUAAAAAACCCGGGGCAACCUCGG
rnacentral:rRNA from 1 species